rnacentral:rRNA from 1 species
UACAGAGGUCUCAAGCGUUGUUCGGAUUCAUUGGGCGUAAAGGGUGCGUAGGCGGCGCGGUAAGUCGGGUGUGAAUCUCGGGGCUUAACUCCGAAACUGCAUUCGAUACUGCCGUGCUUGAGGACUGGAGAGGAGACUGGAAUUUACGGUGUAGCGGUGAAAUGCGUAGAUAUCGUAAGGAAGACCAGUGGCGAAGGCGGUCUCCUGGGGCAUUCUUGACGCUGAGGCGCGGAAAGCUGGGGGAGCGAACGGG